rnacentral:rRNA from 1 species
AGCGAACGCUGGCGGCAGGCCUAACACCUGCAAGUCGAACGGACCCUUCGGGGUUAGUGGCGGACGGGUGAGUAACACGUGGGAACGUGCCCUUUGGUUCGGAACAACUCAGGGAAACUUGAGCUAAUACCGAAUGUGCCCUUCGGGGGAAAGAUUUAUCGCCAUUGGAGCGGCCCGCGUCUGAUUAGCUAGUUGGUGGGGUAAUGGCCUACCAAGGCGACGAUCAGUAGCUGGUCUGAGAGGAUGAUCAGCCACAUUGGGACUGAGACACGGCCCAAACUCCUGCGGGAGGCAGCAGUGGGGAAUCUUGCGCAAUGGGCGAAAGCCUGACGCAGCCAUGCCGCGUGAAUGAUGAAGGUCUUAGGAUUGUAAAAUUCUUUCACCGGGGACGAUAAUGACGGUACCCGGAGAAGAAGCCCCGGCUAACUUCCUGCCAGCAGCCGCGGUAA